rnacentral:misc_RNA from 1 species
GUGAAUCAUCGAAUUUUUGAACGCAAAUUGCGCUUCCUGGGAUCACGGGAAGUAUGUCUGUUUGAGGGUCAGAAUUAUUAAAAUAUUGGCUUAUCUACAAAUUGUGUCGUUUCCGGAGUUUGGAUUAUAUUACUAUUUGUGGUUAAGAGGUAUAAUAUUCAUCUUUUUUGCGCAUUUUUAAACGUACAUAAUUUUUUUUUAUUCGUCUGUUCUUAAUGCUAAUAUCUUAUUAGAUGCAAUCACGUUGU